rnacentral:lncRNA from 1 species
AAGUGGCAAACACUCAACCUAAACACUGAACUUAAUCUUUCCCUUUUUCUCAUUCCUAAGGAGGCUCUUCUUUUGCCCCUUUUCUUUCAGAGAAAAAAGCAAAUCCCAAAGCAAUGCCCCUGAAUUAAGGUUGUUCUUUGCCAUAUAUAUUCACACAAAAGCUUUACAUUAUAAGUGUCUUCAAAACCAUGUUUCUUCCCUCACUCUUUUAUAUUUUCUUAUGCAUAGUGUUGUAUAGUAUUUUUUAAAAAAUACUUAAACAUUAAAAAAUUAUUUGACCAUAGAAUAACCCUGUAAAUUUGAUCAAAUAUAAUUCUGCUUGUAUAGAUAAAACAGCUGAGGUUUGGAGAGGUUAAGUUAUUUAACCAAGGCUAUAAAAUAUUCGUUGAGUCAAGGUUAUUGCCCAGGAUUUCUAAUUCUACGUACUCAGUUUUCUCAGAAUGAAGUAGGGGUGGGUGCCUGGGCCUGGAUGAUUGCUUUUUCCAAGACAAACUUCUGUAGUAUUCUUUUCAUAUUUCACCUUCCAGUAGAGUCCUUUGUUGUUUUGUUGGGAUAUUCUUACCACUGAGAGAAGAUGGCUUAUGAAAACCAAGACCUUUUCUUCUAUAAGAACCCAGUCCUUCUCUCUCCAAUUUCAUGCUUAAUUCCUUUUCUGCCUCACCGGGGUCCCUCACUGGGACUCUCAUAUUGGAGAAUUUCCAGCUAUCUGUUGAAUUUUUUAAAAAGUGGAUACAGUUUACCUCAAACUGAAACACACUUUAAUUCUCUGGGUUAGAUAUAAUAGCAGAUUUUAUAGUCCAACCUAGGAUGGGAAACUCAACCCAAAAAUGAAAAUAAUUGCAUCUAGCAAGAUGUACAUUUAACUUCUGAUGGCUCUGCUGGUCUGUAUAGCUCAAACACUAUGUAGUCAAUGAAAGGUCCCUUUGACGUUACCUUUUCUGCUGCUUGUGAAUCUACCUUUUUGGAAAAUGAUAGGGAAUGAUCACUCCUAAGAAAAGGAAGAGACAAGACCAAAGACCCCCUUGGAAGUAGCCUAAGGUAGAAUUCCAGAGCUUGUUAACUGCCUCCCUCUUUUCUUUUGCUUUGACAUAAGAGGUAGAGAGGGGGUUUCCACUCAGACAUGAUUAGACACAUACUUUCAGAAUAUCUCCUGCCUUCUAUACAGACAGAAGAAAUUUCUAAGGCUUUCUUUUGGCUGUAGAGUGAGUACCACAUUUCUGGGCAUUCUGAAAAUCUAUGCCUAGGAGAGCUAGAAAGAAAUGACUGGACAUUAGGAACAAGUUUAUAUGUGUGAUGACAACUAGCAAGCUUAUCUACUCAGGACAGUCAGCUUGAGAGCUUUUAAAUGCCUGGAAGAAUGAGAAAUUAGGUAGCCUUGGCUCAAACUCAAGACUUCCUCUCCUGCUGGACUUUUCUGUUUCCUCUCCUGGUGGGACUUUUCUUUCUCUCCUGUUGGACUUUCCUGUUGGACUUUUCUUUUGGAUUUUCUGUUGAAGUGUUGUGUUCUAUCCCAUCAAUCUUCCCUUAGCCAGGUUUCUACCCAGUCUCUUCUUUUGCCUAAUUUUUCACUCAGAUCGGCUUCUCUCCCACCCCCCACUCCCAACCCCCACACCAUCACUGAUCCCUGAUGUGUCAAAUCUGGCUUCUGUUGGGUUUCUGGAAACCAUGAUGUCAUGCAUAUGAGUGUCAGAGCUCUGUAGUGCUGUAGUGAUGCUGAUCUAGAAGCACAGCAUAUGUCACGUGUCUGUCACUUUAAUUAGGCUAAACAGGGGCACAAUAUUAGGAGAAAGAAGGCCAAAGAGUGCUAUUUUUAGUUGAACAGUUCAGCAGAUGCAGGCAUGAAUACUCAUAUAUCUGAAGGUUGAGGGGUUUGAACCAUUAAUUUUGAUAAUUUAUUAAACCCUGGGAACAAUCAGAAACUGUAACUCUAAGGUUACAAUGCUUUUGACCUUUAGAGAACAGAGAGCACUUGCUACAGUAAACAAUGUAUUAUACUGCUGCUUAUUCCAGUUCUCUCACCCGUAUAAAUUUCAGGACCAGUUGCCAUUUGCUUUCUUCAGCUAUGUUAUCAUUGGUCCUUAAUUGCAGCCUGAGUCUUUAUGAUGUUGUAUUUAGAGGCUCUGCACUGUCUGUUGUACCCUGUCUUCUUAUUUGCAAUUGUAAAGAUGCCUCAGUGGUGUGGGGGAAUGGGAGGGUGAUGGAGUUAGCUUUGCUGGGCAGUCUUGGAAAGUUGUGAUUUCUAAUAGAGAAGAGGGUGGAAUAAAUAGAUGAUUAGGGUGACCUAUUACUGGCUACCCAAUGGAGAAAGAGGAAUGAACUGACUCAAAGCUUGUUUUGAGGAUGCCAGCCAUGGGGCUCUGCUUUGAAGAGAAUGCAUGCUUUUCUCUUAAUCAGCCUUCACUCACCCUUCUGACUCUUUUCUUGAUUUUUAAGAGUGUGGUGGAAUUUGGGAGGACCAUUACAACUAGGCUUAGAUGAGCUGUAGGCUAAUGGAAUUAACUCCAUUUAUGGAAUUAGAACUUUGGAUUAGAGUUUCCACUAUAACUUUCUUGCUCUGUUGUCUUGCACUGUUACAAAAUACCUCCAUUUGCAGUUUUUUUCAUUGUAAAAUGAGCAUAAUAUACAUUCUCAGGGUUCUUAUAAAUGAUAAAUGCAAUAAUAAAGCAUGUAUUAGAUUUCCACAAAUGUUCCCUGAACCAUCAUCAGAAUAGGUAAAACUUUUCAGUAACCUCAGUAAGCAGUCAAUUCUACUCUAGAUUUAUUGUCUAAAGUACUUCUGAUGGGUGGGUCUAACCUACUAGAGUAUAAGUUAAUUAAUUCAGGGAAUUUUUUGUCUCUUUUGUUUACUGUGGAAUCCUUAGCAUUGCCUAGCACAGUAUUUGGCAAAAUGGACGAAUUAAUGCAUUUCAUCUUUGGUGGACAUCUGGGACCCAAGCUCCUUUGAAAACCUUUUUUUUUUCCGGAAAAUAUUUGGUUGAGUGCUCUGUCUAUAAGAGACACUCUUUUAUGUCAACAACUUUUCUAGAUAGGCUUCUUAAGAAAAAGUGCAGUAAUACCUGAAAGUUCAGAGAGUUGGCUCUUCUCACAUAAGCUCUGUUAAUCACUGUGUUUGAGUUAUUUGAUUGGUGGGAUAGUCAGCUAUACUCAAAACCAAUGUAGUCCUCUAUCUCUCCUGAUACAAGAUUUUUGUCAACAGUCAUUUAGCUCUAGCCCCACUAAUUAAUCCACUCAAUAGGCAGCUUCCAGUGUGUGAACGCAUGUAAUUACAUUUACAUAGAUUUCUUGUAAGAUGUGAUGAUUUCUAAAAUAAUGACAGGUAUUUUUAUUCCUGUUUUACCAAACUGAAGUUUUAAAAUAUUUUUGGUUGAUAUUAUGUAUCAUAUAUCUGCAUGUAUGUAUAUGUUGUAAUGAGCUACGUUGGAAUUCUGAGAGAUGAUGUGAUUAAGGGUACAUUAGAAAGUUUGAAAGCAAAACAUUCUAGCAUUUUAGAAAAUGCUUCACUUCUGUUUCCAACCAUGGAAUAAGUCAGGAUAUUCAACAUUUAGGAAAUUUAUAUUCAGAAAAAUAUAUGAUAAAAUAUUUGACCUUCCAGGAAUCUUGGGACAAUAGGAGAGUCAAGAAGGAGCAUUUACAGUAAAGUCAUGUUCAGAGAGACAAGACUAAUUAUAGAGUAUUAAAGAGCUUUAUUUUAAACGAUUUAAUUUACAAAUAGCUCUGGGCAGUGCAUGGAACUUUUUAGAACCAUAAACCUGUAGCUUAAAGAGACUUUUCUAAUUUAAAGUGGCUAGUAUAGAAACAUAUUGUUUCAGCAAUUAUUCAGUUUUAGAGUUUGUUCAAGUUGUGCCAUAGAAGAUUCAGCAUCUAGUUAAAAAAGAAAAAAUACUAAAACUUGAAGCUUGUGGGGAAAGUGUCUCUAACUUGAGGAGAAGGAAGACCUUUAGGGGGUUAUAUUUAAUUAACGCUGUUUACAUUUCCCAUUACACUAGAUUUAAUAGUUAAGGCACUGUGUUUGCUCAGGUCUUUAUUCAAAUGUCCCCUUCUCUGAGUUUUCUUGACCUCUCUGAAAGCCUCCCAGCCUACCCCAUACUCAUAUACCUGAUCACUUUAUAUUUCAUAGCACAUAUCACCACCAGAUUUACAUAUCUAUAUGCUUAUCUGUCUUGUUCUCCCUUCCUCCUCCCACAAAGUCACUGCCCACGUCUGCUUUUCCAAAACCAAAAUGAUACCUGGCCCAUAGUAGCAACUCAAUAAAUAAUAUUUGAUUGAAUGACUGAAUUAACCUUUUGUUUACUAAGAAAUUACACAUUCAAAUAUUGGUAAAUUGACAUAUAUUCAUUUACUAAAAAUACAUGAUUGGACUCAGCACAUGUACUAAAAUAUAUGUACACAUUGAGAACUUCCUUAUGACUCUUAGUUUGUGGGAAAUAAUACUUAGAUUUCAAAUCUAAUUUCUGGACUCAUUGAUGAGUUUUUAUAUCUUAUUAGAAGAGUCAAGAUGUACGUAUUUAAAGUUUACCUGAUGAGCUGAAGCUUUGUGACAAGAGAUAAAGGAACAUUACAAAUAUAAGCCGUACCACUUGGAGCAAAUUCAGAGAACUGAAUCUCUUCAGCAUGGUCUGCCCAGCUCUUGGAAACAAAAGGAAAACACAUCUAUCCCCAUAAUGCUGAUUUUCAACUGCCCUAAUUAUCACCUUUUUGUAUUUCUUACUUCAAGAACUAAAUUACAAAUUGUUUCAAUAACUAACUUUUAUUUCUGUAAAUAAGGCAUUAUAUGUUAACAUAUUUUAUUUAGCACCCUGAAAGAAAAAAUACUUGGAAAAAGCAGAGAGAGAGAGAUUGAGUAUUUCAUCUCCACCUUUUUUUUUGGCAAGUUUGUUAUUUAGAUAGAUUGCAUGUCACAAGGGUUUGUUGUACAAAUUAUUUCAUCGCCCAGUCUGUAAUGACUCGUUAUGGACACACUUUCUUCUCUGUGCCAAACAAGCACAAAAUUAGGCUGCUUAAUUACGCCUGUCACCAUUUCCACUUUCUCACAGCUUAACUUGCCCAGCUUUAUAAUAUGUCUUGCUUGGUAGGCAAAGAAGUGGUCAUCAGCAUUGUUUUGAGUAGGUAACAAAAUCCAGGAUAUCCCUGGAGAACUGAACUAGGCUUGAGGCUUGGUGUUAGGCAGCAUCAAUCAAAUAAAUGAUGACAUCUCCUUAAGGAUGCCUCCCUACCCUACCCUACCGUACCCUACUUGUUUCCUCCAACUUCUAUUGUCCCCUUGAAUGAUGUCUGUCACACUAGAAGAGAAUCUGUUACAGGGUAACUUGGCUAGGCCUGGGGUUCCCCGAUAUUUUGUGGAACUAUAGCAAAUGGGGAUAAAUAUAAGGGCAUAUACCAGCUGUGGGACUGCUAGAUCAUAUGAUAAUGAUAUAACAUUUAGAAUGAUUUACAAAUAAGGAUAUAAAUACAAGUUAAACCAUUAAAUGAAUUGAAGGGAAUGGUCUCCACAGAACAGGGGGUGAGAUAAGGAGGACCAGGGUAGGAAAAUGAAGGUCAUCCUGCAAGCUGUGGAGACUGUGCACUGUACAUUUUGGUCAUGCUCUUUUUGUUGUUGUUGUUUUGGUUUUUUGUUUUUUAAAACCUUCAAGUACUAUUUAUCUUGUAAAGCUGUAUACAAGAAUGACUUUGAUAAAAAUGAAAAUUAUAUGAAAAGAGGUUAGCCCACCUGUCUUUCAAUCUUUGGCUUUAAUUUAGUGAAAUCAACAUAUUUUGAGGUUGAUAAUUUAAAGAUUUGUAAUGUCAGAUUGUCUGCUUAUCAUGUCUCAGAGAAGAGGAACCAUUUUAAGCUGAGUAAAUAGAAUGAGUAAUAAGAUCAUUGGUUUGCCAAAGAGAACUAUAGAAAAUACUUCAGAAAAGGCCUUGAAACAGCAAUGAGAAUAUGACGAAGAUAAAUGUGGAAUCCCAGGCAAAGGCAGGACCUGAAGAGAGAAGUGUGGUGAUCUGUUUGGAAGCAUGAAGGAAGCACUUUGUUACCUGGUUUGGGUUCAGAGAAGCUUGACUUAAAAAACAACAAAACUGCUACCAAUCUGGCCAUAUUCUCUUGAGGAUUAUGUUAUACGCUGCCUAGAAAUAAGACCCUGGGUAAACAAUGACUGCCACUAGGCCUUAGUGGCCUUGGGAACAGCACUCAUUAUUCAGAAGGAUCAGAAUACCCAGAGAUGCAGAGUCAGAGCUAAAUAAGAAUGAUACAGUUCUUCCAAGAAUCCUUAGAAAUGUUCAGGCAGGGAGUUAACUUAUAGGACCAGAGAAUUGGGAUAUUGAAACAUUAGAUUUAAAAAGAAGUGCAAAAUAGAAUUUGAUGUCGGACUCUGUAUGGUUCGUUGAUGAAGAUCUCUCAUUCAAAACUAGUUAUAAAUGUGGACUUAAAGUAUACUUAAAAAAAUAAAUAAAUAAAAUAAAAUAAAGAGGACUGUCCUUACAAUGAGGGCAAUGGGACAAAUAAAUAAAAUCAUAAAUAUGAAAAGUCUUAACAUGAUACCUGAUCCAUACUGUAUCCUUAAUAAAUGCUCUUUGAUUCAUGAAAAAAAAAUGUGGGCUUUAAGGAAUGAGUUGUCAUUGCCUAAUAACGCUUUUGAUGCCAUAUAGUUGUGAUAGGAUAAACAGGCUUUCCCAAGUUAUGUCUGGGACAUUAAUAGAUGUCUUCUCUCACUAAUUUUCAGCGUCUUGAAACUGGGCAGCCAGGAGUUAGAAUAUUUGCUAAAUUGUGCUGAGUCUAAGUGAAUCUUCUGAUAGUGAGAUGUUAAUCUUCCUCAAUGAAUUUUGGAAUAUUGGAUCUCUACAGGAGCAUAUUCUCAUUUUGAUGGACAUAUGAACACACAGAUACAGAUAUCACUAAAGUACACAUGUGGCCUCACAGAUUUUUUUAUUUUUUCUGCGGGCCAGAAAUGACUGUGUUGUAUUAUCACAGCAACUAUAAUGGGUAGCCUGGACAAACAUCUCUGCCUCCUGCCCACUCCUCAACCCCUUCCUCCCCAUAAUUUCCCCACAGAAGAGGCAACAUUGUGCACCAGUUGUACAUACAGGCAGAGCAAAUACCUUCCCCCAAUAUGUAUACAAUUGGAGUCUAGGAACUGUAGUCUGUGAGGAGGCGCUGGAGAUACAGCAGUGAGCAAAUCUGACAAAGACACCUGCUUUCCUAGAGCUUAUAUUCUAAUAGGAGAACACAGACAAUGAAGAAAUAAACAAUUAAAUAGAAAAUGUAAUGGCAGGAAGUCAAUAAAUGCCGUGAGAAAAAAUAGAAGCAAGUUAAAGGAAUAGGGUGUUAUAGGGCUGGCAUGUUAGAUGAAGUGAUUAAUUUUAAGUAUUUCUCAUUGACUUUUUAAAUUCAUUUGGGAGGGAAAAGUCUGAAGUUUAAAAGGAUAAAACUUUAUUUUGCUUUGGAACACACGGGAGAGGGAUGAGAGAUGAGGUUAAGAUAGAUACAUAGAUGAUAGAUAGAUAGAUAGAUAGAUAGACAGAUAGACAGAUAGAUAGAUAGAUAAAUUUGAACUUGACCUAAAACAUAUCACACUGAAUAUAACUGAGUCCCAGAAGUACUUAUAGAAUCAUAUAUGUGUCCAUAUGAUUACACGUUUACUCAUGAUGGGUCUCACUGUAUUGGGACUACUUGAUUGGUUGCCUAGCUACUAGCUUAAAAGGCCAAACUCAUAAAAAACAACAACAAACUUGUUUGGCUCUUUUCUUCUCUGUACUUUAAACAGGAAAAAAAUGGUGAGAAUUUAUAUAUAAGUGUACAAGUUCAAGAUCCUUCCUAGGGAUAGGUGUAGGUGUAGGAAUAAAUAUAAAGCCUUGAGUUUUAUUUAUACAUGUUUUAGUCAAAAGGCCACAUCUAGUUAAUGUAUCUCUCAAUGAAAUGGCUAAAAUUCGAUAUAUUCAGUUAAUAAUGUUGCAUACAUUCUGUGAAAGAGUUGUUGGUUUUGUUAUGUAUGGAGCAAACUUACUAAUUAUGAGGAUUUUAUAGACCUAACCUCCCAUUAUGGCAGGUAGUUUCUAAUCCUUAAUCCUUCUAGAUCUAAUCUCUUCUAGAUGUAAUCUCUUAAUCCUUCCAGACCAGCUGUUCUCAACUUUUUUGGUCUCAGGGGCCUUUUACACUCUUAAAAAUUAUCAAAGACCCU